AAAAAAAGAAAGAAAGCACGGAGUGGAGAUAUAUGAGGUGUUUUCCGGCGAGGGUUAUGAACCAGAAACUCGCAAAAACCUGGGAAAGCACGGAGAGAAUAUCUGAUCAGAAUAUGGAGGGUUCUCGUGUCUGCAAGAGUUGUGGUGCUAGAGGGAAAGCUAUUGUCACGGACCAUGACACCGGCAAUUCGGUUUGCACAUCUUGCGGCGUUGUUCAGGAUUUUGACAAUUUCCAGGCUCAUAUUGGGGGCAUUAAUGGUCCGGUUGGUACAUAUGUUCGUGUUGGAACUGUGGGCAAUGGAAGCCUUUAUAGUUAUAAAGAGACUAAGAUUUAUGAAGCACAGAAGGUGAUUGAUGAUUUGAUGUAUAAGUUAGGGUUUUCAGCGACAAAAUCAAGUGAGGUUAAACAUAUGAUUGAGAAAAUCACUGAAGGUGAAUAUGGUCAAGGGAGAUGGUUUUCUGUGCUUGUUGGUGCAUGCUCUUACAUUGUCAUGAGGAAGGAUUUGAAAGCGUUGUCCAUGGAGGAAGUGGGAAAUUUAGUUGGGUGUGAUGUUUACGAAAUGGGUCGAAUGAUCAAACGGGUUGUGGAUUUUCUUGAUUUGAGGUUGCCAGAGUUUGAUAUUGUGAGCUCGUUUGAACAGGCAGUUAGAAGCUGUCCAAGUUUUAGGGAGGUUUCGGAGGAUAUGAUCUCGAGGAUGUUGAAGCAAGGGGUGUUUUUGGUGCAGUGCUUGGUGAACUGGUUUGUGACAACGGGAAGGAGGCCAAUGCCAGUGGUUGCAGCAGUGUUGGUUUUUGUUGCAGAGCUAAAUCAAAUUGCCAUUAAGAUGGGAGAUGUGGCAAGCGAGUUACAUUUGGCCCUCAAAACUUGUAAAUUGAGAUAUAAAGAGCUUUUGGAGAGACUCGUAAAGGUUGCCCAAUCCUUGCCUUGGGGUAAGGAUGUUAACACAAAGAAUAUAAUGCGGAAUGCACCAUCUGUUAUUCAGUAUAUGGAGUUGAAGUCAAUGUCGAACCUCGUUGACAAGGAAAAUGGUUCUGAAUGUGUUGUUUAUGAUACAAAUUUCUUGGUUGGUGACUGCCUGAGCAAGGAAAAUUUAUAUGGCUACGAUGUUUAUGGCACUGAAAAUGAUUCGCAAUAUUUCAAAGGUGAAAACUCCCAAGCUUUGCACACCGAAGCUCCAGAAAGAUUACACCUUUCUCACGAGUCCUUGUCAGUGAUUUAUUUAGAAUUGAAGAAUGAGGCGUCUAUAGCCAAGGAAAGUACCGAGAAUGGAUACACCAGAACAGGGAAAGGGAGAGAAUAUGACAUACUUAGUUUUACCGACUGGUGGAAGGGUGAAUCGGAACUAAGCAGAAAGCUUUUUCUGAAGCAAAUAUUGGAGAAAGAUACGGGGUUAAAUGCUACACCUCCUUCAUUCGAUAGAGGUCGCUUGGCAUAUGAAAGGCGAAGAGAGAAGAUAUAUGCUGCUAAGCUGCGCAUUCAGAGGACUAUGCAUCCUUCAGCUGCUGCUAAUGACGAUGAUAAAAAUGAUCUUUCUGUUUUAGAUAUUGGUAAAAAUAGGAAGAAAAGAAAGAGGAAAAUGCAUUUCGAUAUUGAUUGGGAAGAUUUCAUUAUUGAAACCCUUCUCCUUCAUCGGGUCAGAGAAGAAGAGAUUGAGAAGGGGCAUUAUACUGCAUUGCUGGGUCUGCAUGUUUUCAAUGGUGGAAGUUGAACAUUCAUGUAAAUGCAUUAAGUACCAAAUAUUUUCAAUCUUUCUUGUGUGAAAUUAUACAAUAGCCCACAGUUUUGUUACAAGGAGUGAGAAAUAUGAAUUUGAAUCCUAAUUUGCGGUUCUCUUUGCUACUUAUUUUUCAAGUAUAUACAGUGUGGUGCUGCCAGCUUGCUUGGAACAUUCUUCUUGCCACAGAUUACACUAAUUUUUAAUGUGUACAGCUAAUGGUGAUUUGCUGAACUGUGAAUUCUUGCAAAUGAAGGGCCAUUUGCCUCUCAGACAUCCAUUGUUAAACUGUUAUGAGGGAAACUUUAAAGCUUAUUCGUUGGUACAUUCUUGGAUAAAACCUGAAGGUUGAAGGUCAACCACAUAUUGGAAAGCAUUUUGUACCCAAUGGUGGACCCAGUUUUGGCUGGACAACAGAUUUUCCUCGAUGAACUUGUUGUGUUGUUGAACCGAUUUGGCUGUUUUAUAAUGUUAGGGAAACGGUUGGUUCUAAAGGGAAGAGUAAUAUCCCAACCGAAUUUUGAAGCAAAAGUGAGCAAGCUUGUCGAGCUGGGGUUGGGAAGGGCAGCAGUCAUACAGGCUUUGAAGUUUUUCGAGCAGGUGCCUAUCUUUUUGGUGGUUGACGGGCAACUUUAUUCUUGUACACCAGUCGCUUGUUUGAUCAAAGGGUCGAAAGAACUUUUUUCCGGUGUGACCCUUCAUGAAGCAGGCCGGGAAGCGUGAGUG